UACGUAGGUGGCAAGCGUUAUCCGGAAUUAUUGGGCGUAAAGCGCGCGCAGGUGGUUUCUUAAGUCUGAUGUGAAAGCCCACGGCUCAACCGUGGAGGGUCAUUGGAAACUGGGAGACUUGAGUGCAGAAGAGGAGAGUGGAAUUCCACGUGUAGCGGUGAAAUGCGUAGAUAUGUGGAGGAACACCAGUGGCGAAGGCGACUCUCUGGUCUGUCACUGACACUGAGGCUCGAAAGCGUGGGGAGCAAACAGG
rnacentral:rRNA from 1 species